UUUCUUCUCCACCGCAGCCAGUGGGCUAAGAAGCUACAAGCACCAUAAGAACAAAAUCACUACCGUUCCUGCCGCCGACGAGGAGAUAUGGGGAGUCAAAUACAUGGUGGAAGGCCCAACAGUUAUUGUAGCCAUGAAGUAGAGAGUCUUCUCUUCUCAAUUGCUCCUCACAACCUGCUUCUUUAUCCAUUGGAAAGUUACUUUCUCGCAAGGUUGUGAUUGCAAACUGCAGAGAGGGCUCUGGUUGCUGUUUAGGAUUGUAAAUAUGGAGGAUGAGAGUGGACA